rnacentral:rRNA from 1 species
AUUUCUUCGGAUUGAAGCAAUUGUGACUGAGCGGCGGACGGGUGAGUAACGCGUGGGUAACCUGCCUCAUACAGGGGGAUAACAGUUGGAAACGACUGCUAAUACCGCAUAAGCGCACAGUACCGCAUGGUACGGUGUGAAAAACUCCGGUGGUAUGAGAUGGGCCCGCGUCUGAUUAGGUAGUUGGUGCGGUAACGGCGCACCAAGCCGACGAUCAGUAGCCGACCUGAGAGGGUGACCGGCCACAUUGGGACUGAGACACGGCCCAAACUCC